rnacentral:snRNA from 1 species
GUGCAUUUGGGCGGCACAUACACUAAAAUUGGAAUGAAACAGAGAUUAGCAUGGCCUCUGCAUAGGGAUAACACAAAACUUCUUGAAGCGUUCCAUAUUUUU